CUGCAGUCACGUGUGCAAUGACACAGACAGUGGUGUCGUCUGCGAUUGCCCUCAAAACUUGGAAAUGGGAGAUGAUGGGAAAACUUGUGACAAAGACGUGAACGAAUGUCAGAACCAAACUCCGCCAUGUUCCAAAUAUGCUGACUGUACCAAUACAUUCGGGGGUUACACCUGUACCUGCAAACUCGGAUACUUUGGGGACGGCUUCCAAUGUUUAGAGGAGAAGGCCACUGACCCAACAACCAAAAGGUGAGAUGAGAUCAUUUUACAACGAUUCAGUUAUACCAUAAGUA